GAUGAACGCUGGCGGUGUGCCUAAUACAUGCAAGUCGAGCGAACGGACGAGAAGCUUGCUUCUCUGAUGUUAGCGGCGGACGGGUGAGUAACACGUGGAUAACCUACCUAUAAGACUGGGAUAACUUCGGGAAACCGGAGCUAAUACCGGAUGAUAUUUUGAACCGCAUGGUUCAAAAGUGAAAGACGGUCUUGCUGUCACUUAUAGAUGGAUCCGCGCUGCAUUAGCUAGUUGGUAAGGUAACGGCUUACCAAGGCAACGAUGCAUAGCCGACCUGAGAGGGUGAUCGGCCACACUGGAACUGAGACACGGUCCAGACUCCUACGGGAGGCAGCAGUAGGGAAUCUUCUGCAAUGGGCGAAAGCCUGACGGAGCAACGCCGCGUGAGUGAUGAAGGUCUUCGGAUCGUAAAACUCUGUUAUUAGGGAAGAACAUAUGUGUAAGUAACUGUGCACAUCUUGACGGUACCUAAUCAGAAAGACACGGCUAACUACGUG
rnacentral:rRNA from 1 species